rnacentral:rRNA from 1 species
AGUGAACGCUGGCGGCGUGCUUAAUACAUGCAAGUCGCACGAGAAAGUUUCUUUCGGGAAGCGAGUAAAGUGGCGCACGGGUGAGUAACACGUAGAUAAUCUACCUUAGAGUGGGGAAUAACACUGGGAAACUAGUGCUAAUACCGCAUAAUCUGAAGAUGACCACGGUCGUUUUCAACAAAGAGGGCCUCUGCUUGCAAGCUCUCGCUUUUUGACGAGUCUGCGUCCCAUUAGAUAGUUGGCGGGGUAAUGGCCCACCAAGUCUACGAUGGGUAGCUGGUCUGAGAGGAUGAUCAGGCACACUGGAACUGAAACACGGUCCAGACUCCUACGGGAGGCAGCAGUAGGGAAUUUUGCGCAAUGGGCGAAAAGCCUGACGCAGCGACGCCGCGUGUGGGAUGAAAGGGUUUCGGCUCGUAAACCACUGUCAGAUGGGAAGAUGGGGUAACAAGUUAAUAAUUUGUUAUCUCGACUGUACCAUCAGAGGAAGCACCGGCUAACUACGUGCCAGCCGCCGCCGUAA